rnacentral:snRNA from 1 species
AGAGAAUCUCUUGAACCCGGGAGGCAGAUAUUGCAGUGAGCCAGGAUCAUGCCACUGCACUCCAGCCUGGGCAACAGAG